rnacentral:rRNA from 1 species
GUCCACGCCGUAAACGAUGAUCACUAGGUGGGUGCUGAGCUAUCGGUGCACGCCGCAGGUAAUUUGCUAAGUGAUCCGCCUGGGGAGUAUGGUCGCAAGGCUGAAACUCAAAGGAAUUGACGGGGGCUCACACAAGCGGUGGAGGAUGUGGUUUAAUUCGAAGCAACGCGCAGAACGUUACCAGGUCUUGACAUACCGGAAUUAGUUCAGUGAAAGCUGGAUGAUUGCCCUUAAAAAGCGUAACCGGAACAGGUGCUGCAUGGCUGUCGU